CCUCGAAUCAGGUAGGAAUACCCGCUGAACUUAAGCAUAUCAAUA
rnacentral:rRNA from 3 species